rnacentral:lncRNA from 1 species
GUGUUUUAGAAUCAUGUAAUAUAAUACCCCGUUCUACUUAAUAACUUGUUGCCAACGAGAAUCCAACUUCAUAAAGCCAAAAAAACUCGUACAAAAUUAAUGUUCGAUUGUCAGUUUUACGGUCAAGCUGUUCACAGCUUAUAGAUGAUUAUUACCUGCCAAUCUCACCAAACACACACCUUCCUUGAAGUCAAUUCUGGGUGGGGCACGGUCUAGCCAGCCGUUUCAUUGGCUUUCGCCAAAUAUCUCUGAAGGAGCUUGACAUUAACUAAAAAUGUGAAAUAUAGCGAAUGCCUUUCUUUGAGACCUCCAUACUCAACGACCGAUAAUUCAUAAUUGAACCUUCCAAGCGUAAUACUGUUCGAAAGCAUUUGCAAUAUGAACUCACACCUUAGUAGUGUCGUUUCCUAUGAUCCGAUGUGGCCAAUGAUGAGCAAGAUAUACUUAGUUUAAUAAAGG